UAGGGAAUCUUCGGCAAUGGACGGAAGUCUGACCGAGCAACGCCGCGUGAGUGAAGAAGGUUUUCGGAUCGUAAAGCUCUGUUGUAAGAGAAGAACGAGUGUGAGAGUGGAAAGUUCACACUGUGACGGUAUCUUACCAGAAAGGGACGGCUAACUACGUGCCAGCAGCCGCGGUAAUACGUAGGUCCCGAGCGUUGUCCGGAUUUAUUGGGCGUAAAGCGAGCGCAGGCGGUUAGAUAAGUCUGAAGUUAAAGGCUGUGGCUUAGCCAUAGUAGGCUUUGGAAACUGUUUAACUUGAGUGCAAGAGGGGAGAGUGGAAUUCCAUGUGUAGCGGUGAAAUGCGUAGAUAUAUGGAGGAACACCGGCGGCGAAAGCGGCUCUCUGGCUUGUAACUGACGCUGAGGCUCGAAAGCGUGGGGAGCAAACAGGAUUAGAUACCCUGGUAGUCCACGCUGUAAACGAUGAGUGCUAGGUGUUAGACCCUUUCCGGGGUUUAGUGCCGUAGCUAACGCAUUAAGCACUCCGCCUGGGGAGUACGACCGCAAGGUUG
rnacentral:rRNA from 1 species